AUUGAACGCUGGCGGCAGGCCUAACACAUGCAAGUCGAACGAGUGGCGGACGGGUGUGUAAUGUCUGGGAAACUGCCUGAUGGAGGGGGAUAACUACUGGAAACGGUAGCUAACACCGCAUACCAUCAGAUUCGCCCAGAUGGGAUUAGCUAGUUGGUGGGGUAAUGGCUCACCAAGGCGACGAGCCCUAGCUGGUCUGAGAGGGUGAACAGCAACACGGGAACUGAGACACGGUCCAGACUCCUACGGGAGGCAGCAGUGGGGAAUAUUGCGCAAGGGGCGCAAGCCUGAAGCAGCCAUGCCGCUUGUAUGAAGAAGGCCUUCGGGUUGUAAAGUACUUUCAGCGGGGAGGCGUUACCCGCAGAAGAAGCACCGGCUAACUCCGUGCCAGCAGCCGCGGUAAUUC
rnacentral:rRNA from 1 species